rnacentral:misc_RNA from 1 species
GAUUUUUUAUGUUUAUCGUUUAAGAUGCCAAGUACCAGUGUAAGUAUAGUGAAACAGAUCUUGACUUCAUCUUUAGGUCAAGGACCCAGUAAAACACAGCAAAGUUAUUGCUCAUGCACUGCAGCAAUGUUGCAUUAGUUUUCGAUGGAACUUUUUAAUUCUGUCCAUGAAAGAAGCACAAAUGUGGUGCAACAACCAAUAAUGUAGAAUCUGAAAAUUUGUAGCAUUCUCG